CCUACGGGUGGCAGCAGUGGGGAAUAUUGCGCAAUGGGCGAAAGCCUGACGCAGCGACGCCGCGUGAGGGAUGAAGGUCUUCGGAUCGUAAACCUCUGUCAGCAGGGAAGAACGGUCACUUUGCUAAUCAGCAGUGAAUUGACGGAACCUGCAAAGGAAGCACCGGCUAACUCCGUGCCAGCAGCCGCGGUAAUACGGAGGGUGCGAGCGUUAAUCGGAAUUACUGGGCGUAAAGCGCGCGUAGGCGGUAUGUCAAGUCAAGGGGGAAAUCCCCGCGCUGAACGUGGGAACUGCCUGUGAAACUGGCAAACGGGGGUGUGUGAGAGGAGGGUGGAAUUCCAGGGGAAGGAGUGAAAUCGGUAG
rnacentral:rRNA from 1 species